UGGAAUUUCAACAAUAAGAAACUAGUUAAACUUAUGAGGAUUGGGCGCUGGCCGCUGAUUUUUUUUAUAUCCUGCUAUAGGGCCGCAGUUCGCACUUAACCUAGAGUUGAGAUGAUUCAGUCUUUAUUUAAGCCUGUUCCUUCCAAUGAUGGUAACAAAGAUGAAGGUAUCAUCAGACAGUUUUGACAAGGAAAAAUACUAUCACUAAAAUUGAAUUUCUAAAUGACCCCACCAUUUUUGGGUGGGAAUUGAUUAAUGAACCCCG